rnacentral:sRNA from 1 species
UAGCAUGAAAACCUCAGACCGAAGUACC